rnacentral:rRNA from 1 species
GACGAACGCUGGCGGCGUGCCUAAUACAUGCAAGUAGAACGCUGAAGGAAGGAGCUUGCUCUUUCUGGAUGAGUUGCGAACGGGUGAGUAACGCGUAGGUAACCUGCCUGGUAGCGGGGGAUAACUAUUGGAAACGAUAGCUAAUACCGCAUAAAAUGGAUUAUCGCAUGAUAAUUCAUUGAAAGGUGCAAAUGCAUCACUACCAGAUGGACCUGCGUUGUAUUAGCUAGUUGGUGGGGUAACGGCUCACCAAGGCGACGAUACAUAGCCGACCUGAGAGGGUGAUCGGCCACACUGGGACUGAGACACGGCCCAGACUCCUACGGGAGGCAGCAGUAGGGAAUCUUCGGCAAUGGACGGAAGUCUGACCGAGCAACGCCGCGUGAGUGAAGAAGGUUUUCGGAUCGUAAAGCUCUGUUGUAAGAGAAGAACGAGUGUGAGAGUGGAAAUUCCACACUGGACGGUAUCUACCAGAAAG